rnacentral:rRNA from 1 species
ACGCUCGACACCUACGGGAAGCAGUAGUGGGGAAUAUUGCACAAUGGGGGAAACCCUGAUGCAGCGACGCCGCGUGAAGGAAGAAGUAUCUCGGUAUGUAAACUUCUAUCAGCAGGGAAGAAAAUGACGGUACCUGACUAAGAAGCCCCGGCUAACUACGUGCCAGUAGCCGCGGUAAUCUGAGCGGGCUGGCAAGGC